CGAGCAGUUUACGGUAGGGGGCGGGGUGGGCACUGCUGGGAGGAGCCACACGGACGUGUGAGAGCUGACCAGCGUGCUGGAACUGUUGUAGAAGUUCUGGGUUUCGGGAGAAGCGAGUUGGGCAGGUUAUGUAAGUCCAUCGUUCCUGGGGCCAUGGGACACACUUCUAAAACUGAAAAUCCAAGUAGGCGGCCAACAAACACUCUGUCAGACUUUCAUAAUUCAGUCAUCUCAUGUCUUCACUAGGCCGCAUUAGAAUAUAGCCCCAAGGCCCAGGAGGUAUCCAAAGUUUUGACAUUACAACAUGAUGUUGCCAUCUACAAAGUUCACACUAGAGAACUGUGCAAUCGAUUUCCAAACAUCAUACACCCACUCGAGAAAACAAAAGCAAACCUCUAAACUCCUUUUUUUUCCUGUGUCCUGAGGUCACACUGCUGCUCUCUUUGUGUGCUACGGCACCAGAGCAUAGUCCUAGGCCUAGCAGUGAGUACCAUAGCAGGACAAUCAUUUAGAAAGAUCCUUCUGCCCAUUGAAGAAUGUUGGCACAAAGCUAAAACUGUAACCAAACAUGGCUUUAUGCUUCCAGAAAGAUCUCAAGGAAGUUACUGCAGGUAACAGUAGCAGCUGCAGGAUCAAGACAGAGUGGAGGAAUAGGAGACCAUGUUCUUACUCCCUGGAGAUGGAGACUUCAAGCUGUCCUGGUGUAUGUGCAAUGAAUUGGACACACCCAGUAUAGGAAAAGGCAAGUGAACUUUGGAAUAAAACCCAGGCUGAUUUCCUUGUUUGUGACUUAUCUGGUACCUCUCAUUUUGAGCUCCAGCUUCCUCAUCUGUAAAACGAGAAUCAGGAUGCCUCUUCUGAGAGCUGCUGUGUGAGACACAUGGAAUCAGGCAGACCACUUCCCUCUUCACAGCCAAGAACCUUGACCAAGUUGUCUCCAUCCUCCAGUGGCCUCUUCUUUCCACCCACCUGUGAGGAGCUGUGAACUCCCGCUGUGCCCAGUCUCAGACCACAACCACUCCCACCACAGUCACAGGCAAGCCCAGUGAGCAAUGUUAGCUCAUGCUGUAACACAGCGAAGGUCAGCGCACAAGUCUACAUACACACAUGUCAUCCCUGUGUCUCUGUGGACCCCGCCUCAGAGGGAGUAUGGGCAAACAUUUGUCUUUAAACUCUUUCAGUUUUUCCUCUAAACUUGGGGUGGUGUCCUCCCUUCUGAGUCAACCGCAGAUGGCUGAGUCGUCUGAUUUGCAUCAUAUCAGAUGCAAACUCUGCUCCUCCAUUUUGUACUCAGGAGACCCGGGUAGGGGAGCCUCCCUGGACACACCCUACUGGCAUGACACACCUGCACAGCAGCUCACAUCUGAAGCCAACUCUUCUGGGGUCCUGGUGGUUCCAAAGACUCUUCUAGUCCUCUCCCUCAGAAGCACGUGUGAAGGGACAGCAAGGAUGCUCUCUAGGGUUGCUCACACCCACUAUGGUCCCUAUGUCUUCUUGCACCUGUGUGAUUUCUCUGCAGGGGUGACAGGUUGGAGACUGAUUUCUUCGGUGCAGUGGCCCUCAGGGAUAGCCUGACCCCUUAGUCAUCCCUAUGCCCUGACUCCAUCUCCCCUCCUGCCUGUGGCCUCAUAGGUUACCUCUUACUUUUUAACCUAAAAACAGAAAAGAUUUAUUUAAUGCACACGUGUGCUUUACCUGUGUGUUUGUCAUACAUUACAUAAAAAAGUUGAAACAAAAUUAAAAGAGGAAAUGAAACGC